UACGUAGGGGGCUAGCGUUAUCCGGAAUGAUUGGGCGUAAAGCGUCCGCAGGUGGCAAUGUAAGUCUGCUGUCAAAGCGUCUGGCUCAACCAGAUAAAGGCAGUGGAAACUACAUAGCUAGAGUAAGGUAGGGGUAGAGGGAAUUCCUGGUGUAGCGGUGAAAUGCGUAGAGAUCAGGAAGAACACCGGUGGCGAAAGCGCUCUGCUGGACCUUAACUGACACUGAGGGACGAAAGCUAGGGGAGCGAAUGGG
rnacentral:rRNA from 1 species